GAGCCCGUGGCUCAAUGGUAGAGCGUUCGUCUCAAAUACCAAAGGUCGCGGGUUCG
rnacentral:tRNA from 1 species